rnacentral:rRNA from 1 species
CUCCUACCGAUUGAAUGGUCCGGUGAAGUGUUCGGAUUGCGGCGACGUGAGCGGUUCGCUGCCCGCGACGUUGUGAGAAGUCCACUGAACCUUAUCAUUUAGAGGAAGGAG